rnacentral:lncRNA from 13 species
GUCCUAAUGGUCAUAUCUGACCUCUGGAUUAUCUUAACAAUGCCCACAGAGCAGACCUCUCUGCACCACUUGACUGUCUCAACCUCUCACUCUUGCUCUUUCACCUCCAUUUCUCUCUUCAUUGCAUUUACUUCAUGGCCUCAUGCUCCCAAGGGGGCCAAGGGGAAAAAGUCAAGUAAGUUUAGUAAAUUUAAUUUUCUUCCUCCUUUAUUCAUCGUCCUGUUUUCCUGUCAUGUAGUUCAUGACGAAGAGUCCAAACAAGCGUCUGGGCUGUGUGAUCACCCAGGGCUUGGAGGAGGCCAUCAAGGUGCAUCCCUUCUUCAAGGAUAUGGACUGGGUUCUGCUGGAGCAGAAGAGGGUCAAACCACCCUUCAAACCUCGCAUUAAAACCAAAAGGGACGUGAACAACUUUGACCAGGACUUCACUCGCGAGGAGCCUGUCCUCACCCCUGUAGAAGACGCCAUUAUUAAGCAGAUCAACCAAGACGAGUUCAAGGGUUUCUCCUACUUUGGAGGGGAGGAGACUCUGUCCUCACCCCUGUAGAAGACGCCAUUAUUAAGCAGAUCAACCAAGAUGAGUUCAAGGGUUUCUCCUACUUUGGAGGGGAGGAGAAUCUGUCCUAAGGCCUGCACACACACCAACACACACACACACCAACACACACACACACACACACACACAAACAAACACGUAUAGACACACAUACAUGCAGGAACACUGACAUACACACAAAUUUAAGAACACACAUACAAACAUACAUACAUACAUACAUACAUGCAAACCCAUGUAUUUUCUCCCAUACAGAAUUAUAAAAUACACACAGAGUAAAUAAUUACUUUCACACACUCAUAUAAAACUCCGGCCAUUAGGGCCUCAGAUUAGUACCAACUUCAAAACCUAAACCAGAGCAUCUACAGCAUCUGUCUGUAUGUCUGUCUGUCCAUCCGUGCAUGCUUUCUAAGUUACAAACCAAUGUAAUUCAAGAGUAGGUCAGAUAGGAAGCCCAUCUGCUUUAUUAUCAAGGUCCUAUUGGCUGGUCCAGAUCAGAGUGGUGGAUCAAACCACACUCUUUGUGGUGGAGGGUGGCCCUAGGAUUGGCCCCCUGACACUGAAUAUAGCCUGGCCCUUGCCCCACUGGACCGGGCUGAUAACAGUGAUGAAAGCUCCUCACAGUCCUGCCACAGAUUGUCACAAGGCCCUUUCCAGUGGACUAUGAAAUGUACAGGGAAUGUUUAUGUGACGGUGUCAACUUUUUGUCUAUAUAAGGAUUUAAAGGUCAGGGGUUAUGUGUGCUUUGGGCAGGGGUCUUGUUCGACAUGGUCUCCUUACAAUAGGUCAGACUUUCAACUGUUUCGUCAACCAUCCUAGUUCCUCAGUGAGUAUAUGAUACUGAAAUAAUUAUGUUAUUAAAUUAAUCUGUAAUUUCUUAAACUGUCCUGUACAUUUCUCAUUGUACUAGAAUGUCCUCCUUCUCUGCCAUGUUUAAACUGGAUGUACUAGAAUGUCCUCCACCUCUGCCAUGUUUAAACUGGAUGUACUAGAAUGUCCUCCUCCUCUGCCAUGUUUAAACUGGAUGCACUAGAAUGUCCUCCUCUGCCAUGUUUAAAUGCAAAAAAAAAACGAAUCCAUAGAACCAAUGAUUGUAUUUAAAAAAUCUAAAACCAAUUGGUUCACAGUGUCAAUAAAAAAGAGAAGCCUGUUUCAAAGUUUCCUCAAGAUCAAAACGACGGCAGAAUUAGAACAAGUCCAUGUUCAGUACAUCAAAUGCCCAUUGUGUGUAGCUGCAGAUCAGUUACAUGUUGUAGAUAUGCCCACAGUGUUAUGGUAGUCUAGCUUCAUGUAUUCCAAAUGAAUGUCAUGGGUUUCAAUGUGGACAAAUGUACUUGUAUGCAUGAGUGAUGGUGGGGAUGCAACUGAAUGUAUCGGGUCUGUUUGUGUGUAUGUGUGUGCGUGUGCGUGUGCGUGUGUGUGUGUCAGUAAGUAUACUGCACGUACGCUAGUUUGUGUGAGUCUGUUUGUGCGUGUGCAUGAGAAGGGCCCUCUUGAAGAUUUAACAUUUCAUUGUGUCUGUUUUAUUUUCUUGUGUUUUAUUUCAUUGUGUGUUUUAUUUUAUUGUGUGUUUUAUUUUAUUGUGUGUUUUAUUUCAUUGUGUGUUUAAUUUCAUUUUGUGUGUUUUAUUUUAUUGUGUGUUUUAUUUUAUUGUGUCUGUUUUAUUUCAUUGUGUGUUUUAUUUUAUUGUGUGUUUUAUUUCAUUGUGUGUUUUAUUUUAUUGUGUGUUUUAUUUUGUCGUGAUUUUACUGGAUUGUCUUGUUGCUCAGUGUCUGAAAUCCUGGAUUUCCCUGCUAUGCAACAAGACUCACAAUCAUGUGAGGGAAGGCAUCACCAGAUAGCCAUGUCUUUCCCUCUGUACAGACCACCUUGCAUAUAGAAGCCUGUGGACUUCUUGGAGAAAUAGAGGUAUCAUCUAUUGCAUGGUUAUGCAUAUGAUGUUAUUGUGUAUUACUAGAAUAUGAAAAAGUGACAAUGUCCAUGUGCAAUAUUCUAUGUCUGUCUGUCUGUUUUUGGUUUCCUUUGCUUUCUUGCCAGGUGUCUUCGCUGUUCAUCCUCCCACUGACUCUUUGCUGUUGUUCUGUAUGGUUUUGACAGUGUAUGCAUGGCUGUUUUCAUUUGCCUGUCGUUAACCCCAUUGAUAGCCAUGUCUAUGUGCUUCCUUCAGAGUGUUCCAUCAAACCACCUCACCACCCCUCUCCCUGCCCUCUCUCAACUCUUUUGAAGAAAGGUUGACAUUUCCUAUAGCAUAUCUCUUUAAAAAUGUAAACAUUUUCUAUAGCAUACUUCUUUAAAAAGGUCAACAUUUCCUGUAGCAUAUCUCUUUUAAAAAAGGUCAACAUUUCCUAUAGCAUAUCUCUUUAAAAAGUCAACAUUUCCUGUAGCAUCUCUUUAAAAAAGGUCAACAUUUCCUACAGCAUCUCUUUUUAAAUAAGGUCAACAUUUCCUAUAGCAUAUCUCUUUAAAAAGUAAACAUUUCAUGUAGCAUAUCUCUUUAAAAAGUCAACAUUUCCUACAGCAUCUCUUUUUAAAUAAGGUCAACAUUUCCUAUAGCAUAUCUCUUUAAAAAGUAAACAUUUCAUGUAGCAUAUCUCUUUAAAAAGUCAACAUUUCCUGUAGCAUAUCUCUUUAAAAAAGGUCAACAUUUCCUACAGCAUCUCUUUUUAAAUAAGGUCAACAUUUCCUGUAGCAUAUCUCUUUAAAAAAAAGGUCAACAUUUCCUGUAGCAUAUCUCUUUAGAACAUUAAUAUUACCAAAGGUAGUAAAUCUAUUGGAUUCAUUAAGCUUAUAGAAACCAUCGACCUUCUUAUUGCAUUCAAGCCAAAUAACUCUGGCCAAGAUACAAGAUAUAUAAGAUACAAGAUAUAUAAGAUGUAUGUGAUAUUGUAAGCCUACACCAAAUCAAGGUAAAGUCAAAUCUACUGUCAUAUUCUGUCAGUAGAACACAAAAAGAACAAUGUUGGUUUGUUAUGAUAUUGCAAGUUGUACAUUCCAUUUUAGAGUAGAAACUUGAAAGUAACUUUCAAAUGUUGGAUUCAUAACAGUAGGACUAUUUGCAAUUGAAGA